rnacentral:rRNA from 1 species
UACGUAGGGGGCGAGCGUUGUCCGGAUUUAUUGGGCGUAAAGCGCACGUAGGCGGCCUGAUAAGUCGGGUGUGAAAGCCCUGGGCUCAACCCAGGAAGUGCACUCGAAACUGUCAGGCUUGAAUAUGGAAGAGGGUCGCGGAAUUCCCGGUGUAGAGGUGAAAUUCGUAGAUAUCGGGAGGAACACCAGUGGCGAAGGCGGCGACCUGGGCCAAUAUUGACGCUGAGGCUCGAAAGCGUGGGGAGCAAACAGG